GAUGAACGCUGGCGGCGUGCCUAAUACAUGCAAGUCGAGCGAACGGACGAGAAGCUUGCUUCUCUGAUGUUAGCGGCGGACGGGUGAGUAACACGUGGAUAACCUACCUAUAAGACUGGGAUAACUUCGGGAAACCGGAGCUAAUACCGGAUAAUAUUUUGAACCGCAUGGUUCAAAAGUGAAAGACGGUCUUGCUGUCACUUAUAGAUGGAUCCGCGCUGCAUUAGCUAGUUGGUAAGGUAACGGCUUACCAAGGCAACGAUGCAUAGCCGACCUGAGAGGGUGAUCGGCCACACUGGAACUGAGACACGGUCCAGGCUCCUACGGGAGGCAGCAGGAGGGAAUCUUCCGCAAUGGGCGAAAGCCUGACGGAGCAACGCCGCGUGAGUGAUGAAGGUCUUCGGAUCGUAAAACUCUGUUAUUAGGGAAGAACAUAUGUGUAAGUAACUGUGCACAUCUUGACGGUACCUAAUCAGAAAGCCACGGCUAACUACGUG
rnacentral:rRNA from 1 species